UGUGCCGAUUGAAUAUUUAUU
rnacentral:piRNA from 1 species